UAGAAAAAGGAAGUAAGGACCUCUUUGGUGCUGUGGUCCCUUCAGCUCCACGGGUUCAUUCCCUGCACACCAGCUCUGGAUGUAGAGGUGUCUGUGCUCUGCUUCAGGACAGCACGAGGAGGAAAAUUAAGCUGUGAACUGGAAUUCCAUCAGGCUGUCUACUGUAAAGCCCCGUGGCUUUAGAAAAGGGGCAGUAGUGGUCAGAAAUGACACUCAAAAGUCUGAUUUUGCCAGGCCAGAGAAGUUCGGGAUGGGAGGGAAGGGGACGCCGAGCUCCCACUGAAGUUGCAGAGUAUGGUCUUACUCAG